rnacentral:rRNA from 1 species
UACGAAGGGUGCAAGCGUUACUCGGAAUUACUGGGCGUAAAGCGCACGUAGGCGGCUUUGUAAGUUAGAGGUGAAAGCCCGGGGCUCAACCCCGGAAUUGCCUUUAAGACUGCAUCGCUUGAAUCCGGGAGAGGUGAGUGGAAUUCCGAGUGUAGAGGUGAAAUUCGUAGAUAUUCGGAAGAACACCAGUGGCGAAGGCGGCUCACUGGACCGGUAUUGACGCUGAGGUGCGAAAGCGUGGGGAGCAAACAGG